AAUCAACGCUGGCGGCGUGCCUCAGACAUGCAAGUCGAACGAUUAAAGCUCUCUUCGGAGAGUGCAUAGAGUGGCGCACGGGUGAGUAACACGUAAGUAAUCUACCCUCGAGUGGGGAAUAACAGUCGGAAACGACUGCUAAUACCGCAUAAUGCAGCGGCACCGCAAGGUGACAGUUGUUAAAGGAGCAAUCCGCUUGAGGAGGAGCUUGCGGCAGAUUAGCUAGUUGGUAGGGUAAUGGCUUACCAAGGCUACGAUCUGUAUCCGGUCUAAGAGGACGGUCGGACACACUGACACUGAAUAACGGGUCAGACUCCUACGGGAGGCAGCAGUCGGGAAUUUUGGGCAAUGGGCGAAAGCCUGACCCAGCAACGCCGCGUGAAGGAUGAAGUAUUUCGGUAUGUAAACUUCGAAAGAAUAGGAAGAAUAAAUGACGGUACUAUUUAUAAGCUCCGGCUAACUACGUGCCAGCCGCCGCCGUAAGAC
rnacentral:rRNA from 1 species